rnacentral:rRNA from 1 species
GACGAACGCUGGCGGCGCGCUUAACACAUGCAAGUCGAACGGAAAGGCCUGCUUUCCCUUGUGGAUUGCGGGUACUCGAGUGGCGAACGGGUGAGUAACACGUGAGUGAUCUGCCCCCAACUUGGGUAUAAGCCUGGGAAACUGGGUCUAAUUCCCGAUAGGACUGCAGGGUGGUGCCUGUGGUGGAAAACGAUUUUCUAGUGUUUGGGGAUGAGCUCGCGGCCUAUCAGCUUGUUGGUGGGGUAAUGGCCUACCAAGGCGGCGACGGGUAGCCGGCCUGAGAGGGUGGACGGCCACAUUGGGACUGAGAUACGGCCCAGACUCCUACGGGAGGCAGCAGUGGGGAAUAUUGCACAAUGGGCGGAAGCCUGAUGCAGCGACGCCGCGUGGGGGAUGACGGCCUUCGGGUUGUAAACUCCUUUCGACCGCGAGGAAGCCACCUGGUUGGAAGGGUGGUGACGGUAGUGGUAGAAGAAGCACCGGCUAACUACGUG